ACCCUUCAUGCUCCUCCUCUCUACGCAGCCUGCACUCCAUUCCUUCCUCGUCUUUCGCUUCAACUAUCCUGACCACCCUUCCCCAUCCUGAUUCAUUUUCUUCUCUGUCACUGGACACAGCUACAGAUGUUUUCCUGUCUUCACUCUCAUCUGCAAUUAACUUUGUGUUCUCUCUCCUCCAGAUCUUCCCCACCUGCCCCCUGGCUGACAGGUGUCCUGUGCAGCAACCGGCAAGAACUAAGGAAGGCUGAGAGAAGGUGGAGGAAAUCCCAGCUCGACCUGGAUCUUCGCUCCUAUCAAUCUUUCCUUUCCAAGUUCUCACUCGAAGUUACUGCUGCAAAGUCAUCUUUCUACAGAGGGAAACGGGCAGCAUCAGCAUCUGAUCCACGCAAGUUCUUUAGCAUUUUCUCCUCUCUCCUCAACCCUCCUCCUCCCCCUCCACCCUCUUCUCUCACUCCUGAGGAUUUUAUCACCUUCUUUGAGGAGAAGGUUGAUAGAAUCCACCAGUCUUUUCCCUCUGUCCCCACUCCUUCCACUAGACCUCCUCCUCUCGUUCUCAAUCCCUUAAACUGUUUUUCUUCUCUUUCCACAGAUGUCCUUCAACUGAUCAAAUCCAGUAACCCAACCACUUGAUCCCAUCCCAUCUGCACUGUUCCAGUCAAUCUCCAAGGAUCUACUGCCCUUCAUCACUUUUCUCUUUAACAAGUCCUUGUCAACAGGUGAAGUUCCAUCCUCUUUCAAGACUGCAAGAUUCCUUCCCAUCCUGAAGAAGCCCAUGCUUGACAGCACCGAUGUCAACAACUACAGACCGGUAUCACUACAGACAUUCUUUCCUUUCAAAAAAUCUUGAACGUGCAGUCUAUAAUCAACUGUCUCUCUUUCUCACACAGAACCAGCUCCAGGACCCCAACCAGUCUGGCUUCAAACCAGCGCACUCAACAGAAACUGUUCUUAUAGCAGUGACUGAGAAGCUCCAGUCAGCAAGAUCAGCCAAACUGUCAUCUGUCCUGAUUCUUCUUGACCUCUCAGCAGCUUUUGACAUGGUCAACCAUACAAUCCUUCUGGACGUCCUCACCAACCUUGGAAUCACUGGCUCUGCGUGGAAGUGGUUCAAAUCCUAUCUGGAGGAUCGCUUUUAUCAGGUUUCCAGUUGCAUCUCGGCAUGUCUGACUGACAUCUCUUCACGGAUGGCAGCUCACCACCUGAAGCUCAAUCCUAGCAAGACUGAGCUGCUAUUCAUCCCUGCAACUACAGGUCCUCAUCAUGAUCUUGCCAUCUCAUUGGUUGUUUAUAAAGGUGUAAUAACCUGGACAAUUAUUUUAUUGUGUUUGUUAAGCACUAAUGACUCCUCUGUAAUAAACUCAUGAACAGAAGCAGAAACAGUUCUGUUCAAGUCUAUUUGAUGACACUGUAUUCAAACAAACAUUCAUCACCCUGUUUUAUCUUUCAGUAAAUAAAAGAACCUUAAAUCUUACUUUAGACAGGAAUGAACAGAAUAAAAUAUAAAAACAGUACUGACUGAUUUAACAGUAUUAAUGAGCUUUACAGCUCCUCUUUUUUUCCCCCAGUGUGCACUGUGGGUGUGUUUGUGCUGACAGUAAAGGAUAUCUGUGUUAUUCUGUUCAGAUUGGGGGAGUCAGAGUGCAGUUCUGGAGGAACACAGCACUGCAGAGUUUAGUCUCAGUUUAACUCAGGAGUUAAAGUGGGAGGAUUAGAGCUACACUGGUAACAACAAUUCACACUUAUAUUAACACAACUUUUCAUGCUUUAUUGACUCAACCCAGAUUUCCCAGUGUUCACACAACAUGUAUAUACAGUCAUGUGCAAAAGUUUGGGCACCCCAGUCAAAUUACAUGUUUUGUUGGUUUUCUAAGUGAAAAUAAGUUAACACAUCCCGUACAGAACAAAAACACUUCUACACAUUUUAAUAUGCAGCUAUUGUUUAUUUGCUGAAUUAAACAUAUUAGGAAAAAAAUAAAACAUAACAUGUUGCCUGUGUGAACUGGUUAUUCAAAAUAACCAGUAACCUAAAUGUGUCUUCUGAGUUUUAUAUGUAAAGUUGAUAACGGUAAAAUAAUGGAAAAUUUGUAAACUGCAUUUUGUUUGGAAACUAUUUUGUCUCACAACACCCUGCAUAUACACCACAAAAUGUAUUUUCCAAAAGGUUUAAGACCAAAACAUUCUCAAAACUAUCAUAAAACAAUGUCUUAGGCAUCAGACAGAGGAUUUGUAAACAUUUCAUGUAAUAACUUUCUGAUACCUUAAACUCUUUAGAUGUCUGGUUGCUAUCACCGCCACUGUUUGGUAAGUUUCUUUAGAAUGGAGCAUUUCACAUCACACUUCUCUGAACUUCUCUGUGUAAGUCUUAACCAGUUAAUUUUACAGAAAUUUUGAAAAAUCUGUGACACUACAGAUGACUUUAGAGACUCUGAUCUACUCUAACAUGUAUUUUUAAAUAGAGAAUAAUGUUCAUUUGUGAAAUCAUUACACAUCACUCAUUAUUUUACGACAUUGUUUUUUUCUUUUUCCUGAGCACAGAAUCAGAAAUCUGAAGAAUCCAAACCUGUCUCAAAAAUCAGGGAGCAAGCUGGAGAAUUGAGCUUUAUUUCUUGUGCGCAGGUGCAAGACAUUUAGCCAGCAAAACAAUGGACUGACACUGUUUGAUAGCUGGACUAAUGUCAAGAUUGGGCCCAGCCUAUACAUGACAAGUGACAGGUGUGACAGAUAUGACCAUGUAGGGAUAAACGAAAAUGAUAAAGACAGAAUGUUCUAAACACAAUCACAGUACAGGCACACACAAUACUGAACCUAAUGACAUAUAAUACAGCACUGAACACAUUACACAGAAGUACAUUCCUUCAAAUCAUAAUGUCUCUUUUAUAAAGGAGAGAAUCACAAGAUAAUCACUUUCACGAUUUCAGAAAAAUCAUAAUGUUUCUUUCUGCUGCUCUCAUUGCAUUCACUGUUGAAAACUGUAAAUAAUCUAUUCAGUCUUUGAUACGGGUGAGAUGAUCAGUGGAGCUGAGUUUUCACCUCCAUCAUUUAGACCAGGGCUGAAGUAUGGAUAGAGUUUCUCAGUGAAAGACUGACCAGUGAAAGAGUAGAUAUGAGAUCUGGACUCCACAUCAUAAAAGGAGACCAGACCCUCCUCAUAAUCCACAAACACUCCCACCUUCUGGGGCUUCUCUUUUAGGGAGAGGGAGAUGCAUGGAAACUCAUUAGCAUCAAACUUAUUCCCAUUCCUCAUCCACACAGUCCAGAAUCCUUUCUGUGGGCUCAAUGUAAUCUUCCCCUUCCUGUUAAUGGACUCUCUGACCAAUCCUAAAUCCCAGUUAAUCUUUUCCCUGACCUGCACCUCAUAGUAAAAUCUCCCGGAGGAGAAUCCCUCCUUUCCCAGGACAUUGACACAUGAAUCAAACCUCUUUGGAUUGUCAGGGAGAUUCCGUUUUGUGUCUCCACAUCUCACCUGUUUUCCAGCAUCAGACAGGAUGAGAUCAGGAUGAGCUGUAUCAGCAUCCAGAGUCACAUCCACUGAGAGAAACACACAGUGUGUGAUAUGAAUAUACAGAUAAUAAAUGAAUUUAUUAUCCAGUGAAUCAUGCUGAGUAUUGAGUACUUUAGAAUGAUUUAGAGAAAAAUAAAAUAAAUUUUGUAAAGAACUAUAAGGAAUAACACUUCGAGCUACACUAAGGCCAGUGGUGUGAUGGUGAUGAUAAUAAUAAAAUAAGAUAUAAUAGCAUAUUGUCACAGUUCCCUACAUUCCCACUGUCUCUGCCUCCCAGCCUCCAGACUCCAUUACCCAGAACCCCACUCCAGAUCACAUGACCAUUGAUCUCCCUAGCAUGACCAUUUACUACAUACACCUAUUCCUUGUUCCAUAAGCUUGUUAGUUUGGUAUAUAAGCCCGGGCUUUAGCUUAGUCUCAUUGUGAAGUAUUGCCUUUGUUUACAGAGACUUACUGAGCUGUCCAUCUGCCUGUUUGCCUUAUUAUUUAUGACCUUUGCUUUGUGUUUCGACUUUGUCUUUUGCCCUGCCCUGUCAGUAUUGUUGGGCUUUCUGGUUUGACCUUGUUUCUGAUUUUGGACAUUGCUUUCUGGACUCUUCUUAUGGUUACUGUUUUCAUGUUUUGACUUUUGACCUUGGACUGGCUGACCUUGACUUUGGUUCGUCCAUUUGUUAAUAAACCUAUUUUACUGACCUAUAGUCUGCGAGCGUCUGAAUUCUGUCUGAGCCUGACACAUAUCAAAUAAUAAAGAGAUAAAAAAACUGUACCUGCAAACUGCUGAAUCCUCUUCAGUUCUGUUGAGACUAAUUACAAUAAUAAUCAUAGUUAUUAGAUUUUAAAGCGUUGAUUCUAAUGUUAGACUUAAAUUUCAAAGCUAUAAACUUAACAGACACAAAACCUCUUUUAAGUUCAUCAGUUAUAUUCCAUAUAGCAUCUAAAAAAGAUUCUUCCACAGACUUCUGUCUGAAAAAUAUGUACAAUACAAACAUUUCUCACCUGAUUCUCUGAUCUUCUCAUCCAGACUCUUCUGAAGUUCAGAUAGAGCAUUCCUCACAGUCUCGACACUCAGAUGAGGGUCAGUACUGAUGUCAGUCCAGUUCUUGGUGUGUGGAGGUCUGCACAGUGAUGGGUAAAUCUACAGUCCAGCAGGAGAGAGGAGAAAUCGCUCAGCAUGGGCAGUGUUGUUGUUUGAUGUGCUGCAUUGUCACUGAGCAGAUAGAGGGACACUGACCUGUAGGAGGUGGAGGUGGUCCUCAGUGUGGGAGAGCUGCUCCAGCUCAGUGUCUCUCCUCUUCAGCUCAGUGAUUUCCUGCUCCAGCUCUUUAAUGAGGUCUUCAGCCUGCCUCUCUGCUGCUUUCUGCUUCUCCUCCAUCACCUCAAGCAGCUCAGCCUGGCUUCUUUCAAUGGAGCGCAUCAGAGCAGUGAGGACUUCAACACUGUCUGCUUUCUCUUUCUUUGUGUUUCUCUGAUGGAGGAACAACUUUACACUUUAAUCACAAGUCAAAUCUGCAGACUGAAAUAGUUAUAACAAAUGAUGUUUAACUCACUUUUCUGAGCUCUACUGAGUGUUUGAUGUCUUUGAUCUUCUUCAGUCUGUCUUGGAUCAUCUGCUGCACCUCUGACUGUGUCUUUUCCAGUUGUGACUGUGAGCAGAGAGGAAAACAAUUUUUAUUUUCAUAGAUCAAAGGUAAAAUACUUGUAGAAUGUUUUGCUUUUUUAUCCUAAUUUCAUUGAAAUUAUUAUUUUUUUUUAACUUUAGCUCUUAAUUGGGAUGUUUCAUUGUCUAAAGUUACUCCCACCUUUAUCUCUCCACUCUCCUGCUCUAUAGGAACCGUGUUAUGAUUCCUGUGAUCUCCUUCAGUGCAAAAUUUACACAAACACAUCUGGUCAUCUCUACAGAACAGCUCCAGGGGUCUCUCAUGCUUCUGGCGUAUGUAGCCCUCGAGGUUCUCCACUGGGUUUAUUAGCCUGUGUUUCUUAAGUCGUGGAACAUUAUAAUGAAGCUCUAAAUGAGACUUACAAAAAGUCACAACACAAUUCAGACAGGUUUUCAGGGCUUUCUGCUUCACUCCAGUGCAGGCAUCACAAAGAACCUCAGGUUUAUUCAGAUCACUUUUCUUCUUGAAGUGAUCUACAACCUCUCUGAAGGCUGUAUUGAUCUUGAGUUCUGGUCUCUUGGUGAAUUCCUCUUUACAGAAUGGACAGUGACACUGCUCACUGUCACCCCAGCAUGUUUUAAUGCAUUUCAUGCAGAAAUUGUGUCCAGAUGGAGUGGAGACUGGAUCAGUGAACACAUCCAGACAGAUAGAACACAGGAACUGAUCUUCAGACAGGAGACCACUGGAGUCAGGAGCAACUGUGGAUGAAUGAAACAGUACAGUAAUUUACUGUAUGAAUUAUCUAAGCACAUUUUUCAUACCGAUUGUGGAACUGACAUCAAUCUCCUGCACUGAGCACAACACUGACUUUAUACUGCUGCUGUAUUGACUUGACUGAGAUUGUUUAACCCUCAACAUGACACUAAGAAUGUGAACAACAUUUCAUUCUACAGUUAAUAAUCUGUUUUUACUUUGAUUUUACUGUACUGAUAUUGAUAAUAUCAAAGUUAAGGUCAUCCUGACAAAAAGAGAUAUUUUAGUCAUGUAUAUGUGAGCUGUGUAAACUUACAGUCCUGUCGUUCCUCCAUGCUGCUCAUUCCUCUGCCUGCUCUCGCUUGUUGUGAUGAAGAUUCAGCCAUUUUCUUCCUCCUCCUGUUUAACACCUUUCAGUAAGAAAUCACAUCACUCAGCUCACACAUUUAACACAACACACCUGCCUGCUGCCUUAAACUCACUCAAACAAGUAUUAUAUCAAGUACGUCCACACAGACAGAGACGCUGGAGGUCCUGAGAUGACACUGUUCUGUAUCUGCAGACUGUAAAAGCUCUUUUCCUCUUUAUACUGACCAUCAUCACAGCUCUCAGCUCAGUGAUAUCAUUCACAGUUUCUCACUGUCUGCUCUGUCUGAAUGAGGGUUUUUGCUCCACUCUGCUUUAACCAGUUAACACAACAACCUUUCAACCUGUUUUACAGCUCAGCUUACAAGCUCCAUCAGAGAACAUCAAAUAUUAUUCCUCUUGUUUGAGACAAUAAACACAUUGUAUUCAACAUCAGUAUUCCAGCUGUUGAUCUGAUCACUUUCUCAGUGUUAAACGUUUCAUCUGACUUUGUUUACUCAUGUAGUUCACCAUGAUGAAGCUCACACUGACUAAACCUCUGAUCUAUGAAUCUUUCACUGAAGUACAUACCUUUAUUUUUCUCUGUCCUUUUCUUGGAGAGUCAGAACUGUCUGUGUUUGAACUCUUCUCAGAGUUUCUGAAUAUCCAGCAGUUCAAAUCAGCACUUAUUGUGAAGAAGAAUGUCGUUUUUCAGUUUGAACUUCCUGAUUCAUUCAGUUUCACUUUCACCUGCCAAAUGUGAUGCCACUUCCCUGUUUAUCUGUUAUUAGUACUGGAUUGGAUUAAGAUGACAACAGUUUAAUUCUCAACAUAAUGAUAAUAAUUGAAUUGUGGAAUAUUUUAGAAAUAGUUGUGAAUGUAAUGUUUUAUUAAUAAGUAAACAUUAUAAAUGUAAUUCACUGUUUGAGACCGUAUCUCACUCUUUUACUGCUUCAGUGCAAUUAGCAUCACUGAAUUAAGCUUUUCUAAAAGGAGUUUAUAUUCAGGGAUUGG